rnacentral:rRNA from 1 species
CAAUAGCGUAUAUUAAAGUUGUUGCAGUUAAAAAGCUCGUAGUUGAACUUCAGACCUGGCUGGGCGGUCCGCCUAACGGUGUGUACUGUCUGGCUGGGUCUUACCUCUUGGUGAGCCGGCAUGCCCUUCACUGGGUGUGUCGGGGAACCAGGACUUUUACCUUGAGAAAAUUAGAGUGUUCAAAGCAGGCCUGCGCCUGAAUACAUUAGCAUGGAAUAAUAAAAUAGGACGUGCGGUUCUAUUUUGUUGGUUUCUAGAGUCGCCGUAAUGAUUAAUAGGGAUAGUUGGGGGCAUUAGUAUUCCGUUGCUAGAGGUGAAAUUCUUGGAUUUACGGAAGACUAACUACUGCGAAAGCAUUUGCCAAGGAUGUUUNCAUUA